GACGAACGCUAGCGGCAGGCCUAACACAUGCAAGUCGAACGGUAAGGUCUCUUCGGAGAUACACGAGUGGCGAACGGGUGCGUAACGCGUAUACAACUUACCCCAAAGUAGGGAAUAGCCCGGAGAAAUCCGGAUUAAUACCCCAUGUGCUUCAAUUAUUGCAUAUUAAUAGAAGUAAAGAUUUAUCGCUUUGGGAUGGGUAUGCGUCUGAUUAGUUAGUUGGUGAGGUAACGGCUCACCUAGACAUCGAUCAGUAGCUGGUCUGAGAGGAUGAUCAGCCACACGGGAACUGAGACACGGUCCCG
rnacentral:rRNA from 1 species